GCGAUGGCUUGCAGGCUGGCGGGGUCGCAACUUUUUGGCGCCUUCAAGCACGUUCACCCGCGUCGCAGUGCGCCGUUGGCACUGCUGCGAUCGUUUUGCGUGUCCGCCUACAGCAAUGGCGUCGGAAAGCACACGGGAACGCACGAAAUCAUUCUCACGAAGCAGCGCGCCCAGGACUUGAUCGUGAGACUCAAGCCCGAAGAGAGGAAGAUUCUCAUGGAAGAGCUGACGAUACACGUUGAGAAAACCGAGCAGAAUGGGAAAGGGACGAUGCCCACAGCUGCCCAGCUGAGGAUGAUAGCCAUUCACAAUGCCCUGCCAUUCUUGGGAUUUGGGUUCCUUGACAACUUCAUCAUGAUUGUAGCGGGUGACUACAUUGACACCACCAUUGGCAUUGGACUGGGCAUUUCAACAAUGGCAGCUGCCGGCCUGGGGAAUGCCAUAUCAGAUGCUGCUGGAAUCGGGUCUGCCUGGUACGUGGAGAAACUAGCAGUCAAGGUUGGUGUCCAGGCUCCGAGCCUGAGCCCUGCUCAGCUGGAAAUGGCUGCCACCCGAUGGAGUGCCAACAUUGGAAGAGCUGUUGGUGUCUUCCUGGGCUGCAUUUUGGGCAUGUUCCCGUUGUUGUUUCUCUCGUCGAAAGAGGACAUGAGGCAGAGAUCAGAAGGUCGCCAGUCGCAAGACAAGACGUCUACCAGUUGAGCUUCACUGCCAUCUCUCACCUUCUGCCGAACCUCCCGCCAAAGAAUGUUGACUUCCUGAGCGCUGCCUAAUCUAUCCGGCCUGCACGUCCAGCCUUCCUUCAACUGGGAAGCAUAUAGACUAUUACGCACCUCUCUGCCUUUCUUCUUGGCUGCUGGUGUCUCGUGGGCGGUGGGAGACCACUGACUGCAAGGCAUGCCGUAACUGACACUGUCUAUGAACUCUCUAUGUUUAAUAACGUCUUGUGAUCUCUGUGACAAGCCGUCUUGAUUGUGCACGUGUUUUAUGUGCCCACAUGUGCAGUGAUAUUGGUAACCUGUCAACAGCCAGCCUUGUCUCCAAGCUGCUGUCGUGUCUUUGGUAAGCGCAGGUCAGCUCAAGCUAGCUCUUGCAGGUCUCAUUGGCGUAACGCUCCCGGCCAAGCUGUUUUUUCCGCGAGUUGUUCAGAAUGAUGAUGGUUAAUCUCGCCCACAAAACAGGCGUGCCUGUUGCUUGGCCGGGUGUGCAUUGGUUCCAUUGUGGUAGCCGCUUGUAUGGGAAUGACGGGUUGUGGUUCACGCUGCGCAAAUUGUAAUGUGGUGAUAUUUGAACUGAAGGCUUUGAGCUGGUCUGUCAUCUUAUGUGUUGUUGAACACUGAAGGUUAACAUUUUCCACCAUUGCAUGUACUUAAAGCAUGAAUGCCUCUUGCAGACUGCCUAUCAUACUGAACUCUUGCAUGACUACGUGUGUGCUCCACAAGAGAUGUUUUGUCUCUCCAGAUUAGGUUGUGGCGCUAUUAGCUUACCAAUAGCAUAAUCAAAUCUAGGCACCGACAUAGAACAGCAUAGUAUAGGUAGCAGGAAAAGGUAUGAGUUCAUGAAACACCAGAUGCUAUUGUCCAUAUUUUACAUAUUUCCUCACUCUCUGAGGGCUACUGGGCAGUCAACCUCUUAGGCCACUGGUGUUGCAUUCAGUACAUUGAGUGCGGAAUUGUAAUGCCAUGGAAUCCAAAGCUGUGCAGCAUCUAGAAGUAACCAUCAGUUUAGGUAAUAUAUAGUGUAAUGUUGAGCAUGUUCUCUUAGCUUAUGUGACCAACUAGAUAUAGCUAUUAGCUCAGGUGCACUUUUCACUGUAAUGUUUACCAUUCAUGUUCACCUGUUCUAACCAUAUUUUAGGUUUCUUUGUGGCUUGCAUGUAGAAGGCCACUGAUUGAUUGGCCCAUGUAUCCUAGUGGUAAUAACUGCACUAGUCCUUUACAUAUUUUUUACCCUGUAAGAUAUUUGGGCUGAAUCGGUCAGCAACCCUAGCUGCCAUCUAAGCGACGGUGUGAAACUAUCGUCAACUAGUGACCUUUAAAAACUAUUCCAAGAGACGCCCCGGCUAACAUAUUCUCAAAUGUGGUGGAACAUGGCUGCUAUUUUUGUAUUGCCUUACGAUUACUUCUGCAGUGUACAGGAACAACUCAUUGAUGAAAUGUGCGUAAAAGCUAUUGAGAUUCCUGGCAUUUGAAAGAGAAACAUGUGGGUGUUUGCGCCACUGAUGCAUUUGUGAGGCUUAAACUUAAGUCUGUGGAUUCUUAACUAAUGUGGCUUGUUGGUUGGGUGUACAUCUGUCGUAUGAGUAGGGACAUACUGUAUCCAGGGCUGGCAUUUUCUAGCGAUGCUUUCUUCAAUGCUAUUCCUAUUUGGACUUCGUCAGUGGUCGGAACAAUGCUCUGCCCAUAUUGUCAGUGGUAUCAGCUGGCCAUGAACGGGAAGUGAUAAGUGCGGUAAUAAUCGCUGGAAAAUUGUGGCCUACGCCUCUAAAGGUCAUCCCAUUAUAAACAUUUCAUGUAGGACCAAUACUACAUCAAAAUCUGACAAGCUUAUGUGAUCAAAAAUGUAAGUACUGUUGUGAAAUGUCGCCUCACCUGGGAUUCAAGGAAUGAGGCAAUUAGCAUUGGAAGACACAUCAGAGCGACAGACUGAAAGUUGUUUCUUGUACAUAGAAGGGCAAUCUGUCUGUUAACUACUUAAAAGUGGUCACAACUAUGUGAAUACGCCAGCUACAGUAGGUUGCCUCAAUUUAGAAAUGGAACACAGCACGAAAUGAAGAGGAUCAGUGCCCAUUCUCAAUAUUUCAUGUUGUAUAUCAUAUUUAGCAUGG
rnacentral:misc_RNA from 1 species